rnacentral:rRNA from 1 species
GAUGAACGCUGGCGGCGUGCCUAAUACAUGCAAGUCGAGCGAACGGACGAGAAGCUUGCUUCUCUGAUGUUAGCGGCGGACGGGUGAGUAACACGUGGAUAACCUACCUAUAAGACUGGGAUAACUUCGGGAAACCGGAGCUAAUACCGGAUGAUAUUUUGAACCGCAUAGUUCAAAAGUGAAAGACGGUCUUGCUGUCACUUAUAGAUGGAUCCGCGCUGCAUUAGCUAGUUGGUAAGGUAACGGCUUACCAAGGCAACGAUGCAUAGCCGACCUGAGAGGGUGAUCGGCCACACUGGAACUGAGACACGGUCCAGACUCCUACGGGAGGCAGCAGUAGGGAAUCUUCCGCAAAGGGCGAAAGCCUGACGGAGCAACGCCGCGUGAGUGAUGAAGGUCUUCGGAUCGUGAAACUCUGUUAUUAGGGAAGAACAUAUGUGUAAGUAACUGUGCACAUCUUGACGGUACCUAAUCAGAAAGCCACGGCUAACUACGUG